GGCCUGUGAUGUUUGAGAAUUUGUCCGUACCAUCUGAGAUUACUCUUUGAUGCAUCAAUCUCCUAUAGCUUCUGAGGCCU